rfam:Leptotrichia hofstadii F0254 genomic scaffold Scfld1, whole genome shotgun sequence.
GGGAAUGUUUUGGUUUCGACAGGAUAAAAAGAUUAUUAUUGGCAAGUAAGCGGGAGCUUUAAAAUCCAACUUAAAAAUAAUCGGAAACGAUAAUUACGCAUUAGCUGCCUAAGAUAGCGGCUCAUCUCUUUUGGGAACGCCAUUUUUCCAUUAGAUGAUGUCAUUUUUAAUGGCUUACUCAAAUGUAUGAUUAUGUCAUUUGGGGAAACCUUAUAAUCUCGCCUUUAGACUUUUGUCUGUUUAAUAUCUAACGGUUAAAGCGUUAAAUAGACUAAACUUGUAGAAGAUAGUAAGAACUUUUUAUUUUGGACACGGGUUCGAUUCCCGUCAUUUCCACCA